UGCCGUAGCUAACGCUUUAAGUACCCCGCCUGGGGAGUACGGCCGCAAGGCUAAAACUCAAAGGAAUUGACGGGGCCCCGCACAAGCGGCGGAGCAUGCGGAUUAAUUCGAUGCAACGCGUAGAACCUUACCUGGGUUUGACAUGGAUCGGGAGCGCUCAGAGAUGGGUGUGCCUCUUUUGGGGUCGGUUCACAGGUGGUGCAUGGCUGUCGUCAGCUCGUGUCGUGAGAUGUUGGGUUAAGUCCCGCAACGAGCGCAACCCUUGUUCACUGUUGCCAGCACGUUAUGGUGGGGACUCAGUGGAGACCGCCGGGGUCAACUCGGAGGAAGGUGGGGAUGACGUCAAGUCAUCAUGCCCCUUAUGUCCAGGGCUUCACGCAUGCUACAAUGGCUGGUACAGAGAGUGGCGAGCCUGUGAGGGUGAGCGAAUCUCGGAAAGCCGGUCUCAGUUCGGAUUGGGGUCUGCAACUCGACCUCAUGAAGUCGGAGUCGCUAGUAAUCGCAGAUCAGCAACGCUGCGGUG
rnacentral:rRNA from 1 species